CAACUUGAGAGUUUGAUCCUGGCUCAGAACGAACGCUGGCGGCAGGCUUAACACAUGCAAGUCGAACGCAUCCUUCGGGGUGAGUGGCAGACGGGUGAGUAACGCGUGGGAACGUGCCCUUCAGUUCGGAAUAACCCAGGGAAACUUGGGCUAAUACCGGAUACGUGCGAGAGCAGAAAGAUUUAUCGCUGAAGGAUCGGCCCGCGUCUGAUUAGCUAGUUGGUGAGGUAAUGGCUCACCAAGGCGACGAUCAGUAGCUGGUCUGAGAGGAUGAUCAGCCACAUUGGGACUGAGACACGGCCCAAACUCCUACGGGAGGCAGCAGUGGGGAAUAUUGGACAAUGGGCGCAAGCCUGAUCCAGCCAUGCCGCGUGAGUGAUGAAGGCCUUAGGGUUGUAAAGCUCUUUCGGCGGGGACGAUAAUGACGGUACCCGCAGAAGAAGCCCCGGCUAACUUCGUGCCAGCAGCCGCGGUAAUACGAAGGGGGCUAGCGUUGUUCGGAAUCACUGGGCGUAAAGGGCGCGUAGGCGGCUUUAUAAGUCGGGGGUGAAAGCCUGUGGCUCAACCACAGAAUUGCCUUCGAUACUGUAUGGCUUGAGACCGGAAGAGGUUAGUGGAACUGCGAGUGUAGAGGUGAAAUUCGUAGAUAUUCGCAAGAACACCAGUGGCGAAGGCGGCUGACUGGUCCGGUUCUGACGCUGAGGCGCGAAAGCGUGGGGAGCAAACAGGAUUAGAUACCCUGGUAGUCCACGCCGUAAACGAUGAAUGCCAGCCGUUGGGCAGCUUGCUGCUCAGUGGCGCAGCUAACGCUUUAAGCAUUCCGCCUGGGGAGUACGGUCGCAAGAUU
rfam:Microvirga aerilata strain BSC39 scf7180000028481, whole genome shotgun sequence.